rnacentral:rRNA from 1 species
AUUGAACGCUGGCGGCAGGCCUAACACAUGCAAGUCGAGCGGAUGAAGAGAGCUUGCUCUCUGAUUUAGCGGCGGACGGGUGAGUAAUGCCUAGGAAUCUGCCUGGUAGUGGGGGAUAACGUCCGGAAACGGGCGCUAAUACCGCAUACGUCCUACGGGAGAAAGCAGGGGACCUUCGGGCCUUGCGCUGUCAGAUGAGCCUAGGUCGGAUUAGCUAGUUGGUGAGGUAAUGGCUCACCAAGGCUACGAUCCGUAACUGGUCUGAGAGGAUGAUCAGUCACACUGGAACUGAGACAUGGUCCAGACUCCUACGGGAGGCAGCAGUGGGGAAUAUUGGACAAUGGGCGAAAGCCUGAUCCAGCCAUGCCGCGUGUGUGAAGAAGGUCUUCGGAUUGUAAAGCACUUUAAGUUGGGAGGAAGGGCAGUAAGUUAAUACCUUGCUGUUUUGACGUUACCGACAGAAUAAGCACCGGCUAACUUCGUGCCAGCAGCCGCCGUAAGAC